GAGGCUACUUUAGUUAAUACCUAGAGAUAGUGGACGUUACUCGCAGAAUAAGCACCGGCUAACUCUGUGCCAGCAGCCGCGGUAAUACAGAGGGUGCGAGCGUUAAUCGGAUUUACUGGGCGUAAAGCGUGCGUAGGCGGCUUAUUAAGUCGGAUGUGAAAUCCCCGAGCUUAACUUGGGAAUUGCAUUCGAUACUGGUGAGCUAGAGUAUAGGAGAGGAUGGUAGAAUUCCAGGUGUAGCGGUGAAAUGCGUAGAGAUCUGGAGGAAUACCGAUGGCGAAGGCAGCCAUCUGGCCUAAUACUGGACGCUGAGGUACA
rnacentral:rRNA from 1 species